UUUAAUUAUAGCGCCAGAACACAUAUUUACUUGUGUUGACGAGGACUAGAGUUAUCGAAAAUUCGGCGGGUGCUCUAGUGGCUUAGCUUAAGGUCAUAGUAUUAAUUAAAAAAAACGGUAGCAAUACCCUAACAAAA
rnacentral:ncRNA from 1 species